AGCCUGAAGUUUUGGAAACCCUAGAUUUUGAACAUCUAUACAAACGUUCGACUCGUUAUCAG
rnacentral:tRNA from 1 species